rnacentral:lncRNA from 1 species
UGACAUACAAAGAUGGUAUAAAUGGGUGAGGAAAAUAACAUAUAAUUUAUUUAUUCACUUCAAGAACCCAUCUUUUCAUGCUUUUUGCAAAUAUUAUAUCUACAAAUUAAUGUAGCCACAUUUCACAUGACCUGAGAAUUUCCUUAUAACUUCUUCAUGGGUUCAAGAGCCCCAAUGGAAACGGCACCGACAUUUCCACGUGCUUCACGCCCUUCGUGCUAGGCGGUGGAAGAUUGAACGAGUCGAACAACGGAAUCUUCUUUUUGCUCUUUAGCGGCGCCUUCCCCGUCCACGGUCGCGGCAUUGUGGGCGGCGCGCAUGGCAGAAACGCAGGCUCUUGAAUCGCGAUCGGCUUUGCCUUCAGCAUCUCCGAGUAGCUAAACUAGAACUUGAACGGUGCAUCGGGGAGCAAGUACGACACGCCGGACUCACUAAUAAUGAUCCAAAAUCAGAAGCACCCACGACCAUGACGGACAACUUCGUCUUCAUCAUCAUCGACCAUGGGAUGCUGGCUACAUCCUCCAUCACCACGAACACCGUUGUCUUCAUCAUCAACGACAUUGCAUCCUCCAACGACGUUGCAUCCUCCAUCAUCAACGACAGCUUCCUCGAGUGCUUCAACGAUGUGAUGGUGGUUGCAUCUUCCACCGGUCUGUCAGGCUUCCACCACCAACCUUCCAACCUUCCAACCUCCACCGUCAUCAAAAUUGCAUCAGCCUGCAACACGCAUCAAUCAUGCACGAGGGAGGAAGAAUGAAGGGGAACCAAUUACUGCACCUUAACCAUUAACGGGAACCGAAUACAAUGUUCUCUGCAGUUUCUUGAAGGAGUGGAACCGGAUACGAUACAACUCCCUCUUCGUUUUUUUCUCACCACUGAAACCGGUUACCAGAUUUGUGUAAACGAAUACACUCCCAUGAACCACCUCUUUUUCAAGCGCAACUGCUUCAGUAAACUUCAUCUUCAUCCAUCUAGCUGCAAUCAACCCGGUCUUCUUCCUCUUCUCAACCACAUCCAACCAACCUGCACACUGAAACUGCAAAGUUACUCCUCGCAUGGCCACGUAACUUUUCUUUUUUGUCAAUGUACAGUACACGCUUCUUUCUUCGUGGUAUUUAAUAAAAGGAUAAUAUUACUUUAACAACGUUAUUUGGCAACUUUUUUCACAACGUCACGUGGCGUAGUCUCAUUCGUUAUGUGAUAUUAAUUUUAAAAAAUACUUUUCAGAAUUAGUGAGGGCAUGGUUGGAAAAAUGAAUUUG